ACACAUCACAAACAGUCCCACAAAUGCACCCUAGAAUACUGAAUGUACACACAGCAAUCAAUCUUAUGGCAUCAUAUCAGCACCCACAAACAAUAUCACCUUCAAAUAAUCACAUCACGUGAAAAUUAGUCAGUGGAGUCACCAAAACCUGAUGAGCCGUCCUCCCACAUGGUCCAUCCACUCACAUGUGCACCAGGGAGCCAAUCCCUCAUUCUGGCUGGCCGGUAUAAUCCUCACACGACCGGUCCUCAUUAUUUUGCCAACCUCUCUUUUUUUUUUAUACCAACAGGAGGCAACCCGGUCGUCUCCAUCAAAUNN
rnacentral:lncRNA from 1 species